rnacentral:lncRNA from 1 species
AUGCCCCAUGGCCUCUCCCUUUAUUCGAAUAAAGUUACAGGACUCCUCUGUCUCCUUUUUGGACAUAAACCUCUGACAUCGUGGAUUAAUUCCACACACACUCACCCACCCCGCGUUUUCCCCCUCAUCACCUCCCUGGUGCUGCGCUGCCGCACGCCAGCACUGAGGCCUGCCGCGGAGAACGGAGAGCGGCGCCUGCCGCCGUGUCCCACAAUGCCCCGCGCCGCCGCCGCUCCCGACAGCCCCCGCGCCGCCCUCAGCCGCCGCCGCCGCCGCUCCGGUGGGUCCCGUUUGCGGGGCGGGGGGAAUCUCGUCGGGACCGGGAUCACCGGAAAGGCCCUGGCAUCCGCUGGGCUCCGCCGGGACCUCUCUGAGCCGCGGCGUUGCCUGCAGGUCCCGGACCCCCCGCGGCGAGCAGAGGAAAUGACUCUGCCUGGCACCAGCAGCAGGAGGAGAAACUGAGGCAGUACUGGGAAUCCAUGGACACCUUACUGGGGGGGGUGCCACCCGCCCAGGUGCUGUCCCUGACCAGCAUCAUCCUGGUGGCCAAUCCCAACGUGGA